rnacentral:rRNA from 1 species
UACGGGGGGGGCAAGCGUUGUUCGGAAUUACUGGGCGUAAAGGGCUCGUAGGCGGCCAACUAAGUCGGAUGUGAAAUCCCCAAGCUUAACUUGGGAACUGCAUCCGAUACUGGAUGGCUUGAAUCCGGGAGAGGGAUGCGGAAUUCCAGGUGUAGCGGUGAAAUGCGUAGAUAUCUGGAGGAACACCGGUGGCGAAGGCGGCAUCCUGGACCGGCAUUGACGCUGAGGCGCGAAAGCGUGGGGAGCAAACGGG